rnacentral:rRNA from 1 species
GAACGCGAAGAACCUUACCAAGUCUUGACAUACUGUGAGGACACAAGAGAUUGUGUUGUUCUGACCUUUGGUUAGACACAGAUACAGGUGGUGCAUGGUUGUCGUCAGCUCGUGUCGUGAGAUGUUGGGUUAAGUCCCGCAACGAGCGCAACCCUUAUAUCUAGUUGCCAGCAGUAAGAUGGGGACUCUAGGUAGACUGCCAGUGAUAAACUGGAGGAAGGUGGGGAUGACGUCAAAUCAUCAUGCCCCUUAUGACUUGGGCUACACACGUGCUACAAUGGAUAGGAACAAAGAGAAGCGAGCUCGCGAGAGUAAGCAAACCUCACAAAACUAUUCUCAGUUCGGAUUGUAGUCUGCAACUCGACUACAUGAAGCUGGAAUCGCUAGUAAUCGCGAAUCAGAAUGUCGCGGUGAAUACGUUCCCGGGUCUUGUACACACC